UGGUGAGAUCUCUCACGUGCUUUUUCUCUGACCCAGCUUGGAUACUCCGAGGGGGAGGCCAAGAGCUCGUUUGUCUUGGGGGUGGAGGAGCAGCGCUUCCGCAUCAGCACCAGGCUGCUGGCUGUGAACGCCACCCUUGCCAGCACCGUCAGCCUGGAACAGACCUUCCCCCAGCUCAGUGCCCUUCCCGGGGAGCUGGUGCUGCGGACCACGUACGAGCGAGCCCGUGGGACCCGCGUCCUGUGCCAGUCGGUGCUGUGGGAUGGCCGGGAGGUGGCCCUCAAUGGGAGCUUCUCUGGGCCCUUCCCCAAGCCCGCCGGGAACCUCAGCCUGCAAGUGGAUCUCACACAUGCGCUGUCCCUUCCCCUGCCGCGGCACUGCAGCCUCGAUCUGUCCUUGGAGCACUCCGGAGGCAGCCACCAGGGCCACCUGGUUGCCAGCUGGGACGCCAGGGACCAGGUGGUGGUCUCCUCGUCUCUGCAGCUGGAGAAGGACAGGCUGACUGCCCGCCUGGCUCUGGCUCAGCCCUUCAGCCUCUCCUGGCAGCACGCAGAGGCCAGUGGC